CAGCAUGAUAUGUUGAGGACAGCUACAGUUCACUGACUCUGUGUGUUUGCAUAUGUGUCCUUCCUCUCUGCUCCCAGCCUUUAAGAGGCCAGUGUUGAUCAGUGGCUGUCCAGGCCUUUCAGAGCCACUGACACGCCGGCAGCACAAUGAUGAUGUCACUGACUCUACUGCUGGCCACCCUGGGGCUCCUUGUUCAGGGUUCAUCAGGACAAAUCACCCUGACUCAGUCUCCUGGAUCUCAGUCUGUUGUUCCAGGACAGACUGUCUCUAUCAGAUGUAAAACCAGUUCAAGUGUUAGUAGCUACCUCAGCUGGUACCUUCAGAAACCUGGAGAAGUUCCUAAUCUCCUGAUUUAUACAGCUACAAACCGUCAGUCUGGAGUUUCAAGUCGUUUCAGUGGAAGUGGAUCAGGUUCUGACUACACUCUGACCAUCAGUGGAGUUCAGGCUGAAGAUUCAGGAGUUUACUACUGUCAGCAGGGUGCCAGCUUUCCGUUCACACAGUGAUACAACGUCGUACAAAAACCUCCCUCAGCUGGAGAGGAACUGAUCUGACUCAACAGCUGCACUGACACUAAAGAGACGUUCCACAAAAAAAACCCAUCGUAGAUAAUGAUUAGCUUUGAAUAUUUUAACACUAAAUGUUCAGUAUUUAAAAAGUCAUAUUUUUAAUGCUUUCAUGAAAACAGGGUGUGAAACAGUCUGCUGCACUUCAGUGGUAACCUCUCUCGAAGUAUGAUUUCAAUUCAUUGAUAAGUGAAAUCCAUGGAGUAUGAUAACAGAUGAACACUAAAACUAUAAUUAUAUUUUAAUUUUAUAUCUUAACAUUGUUCAUAGUCAAACAUACUCAAUGUUGAAAU